rnacentral:rRNA from 1 species
CCUACGGGAGGCAGCAGUGGGGGAUAUUGCACAAUGGGGGGAACCCUGAUGCAGCGACGCCGCGUGGGUGAAGAAGCGCCUCGGCGCGUAAAGCCCUGUCAGCAGGGAAGAAAAUGACGGUAACUGAAGAAGAAGCCCCGGCUAACUACGUGCCAGCAGCCGCGGUAAUACGUAGGGGGCAAGCGUUAUCCGGAUUUACUGGGUGGAAAGGGGGAGCAGACGGCGAUGCAAGCCAGGAGUGAAAGCCCGGGGCCCAACCCCGGGACUGCUCUUGGAACUGCGUGGCUGGAGUGCAGGAGGGGCAGGCGGAAUUCCUGGUGUAGCGGUGAAAUGCGUAGAUAUCAGGAGGAACACCGGUGGCGAAGGCGGCCUGCUGGACUGCAACUGACGUUGAGGCCCGAAAGCGUGGGGAGCAAACAGGAUUAGAUACCCCGGUAGUC